CCUUCGAUAGCUCAGUUGGAAGAGCGCGAGACUGUAAUAGGAUACCGCAAUCUUGAGGUCGCUGGUUCGAUCCCGGCUCGAAGGA